rnacentral:rRNA from 1 species
AGUGGCAGACGGGUGAGUAAUGCAUAGGAAUCUACCUAGUAGUAUGGGAUAGCCACUAGAAAUGGUGGGUAAUACUGUAUAAUCCCUGCGGGGGAAAGAUUUAUCGCUAUUAGAUGAGCCUAUGUUAGAUUAGCUAGUUGGUAGGGUAAAGGCCUACCAAGGCAGUGAUCUAUAGCUGGUCUGAGAGGAUGAUCAGCCACACUGGAACUGAGAUACGGUCCAGACUCCUACGGGAGGCAGCAGUGGGGAAUAUUGGACAAUGGGCGCAAGCCUGAUCCAGCUAUGCCGCGUGAGUGAGGAAGGCCUUAGGGUUGUAAAACUCUUUCAGUGGGGAAGAUAAUGACGGUACCCACAGAAGAAGUCCCGGCAAACUCCGUGCCAGCAGCCGCGGUAAUACGGAGGGGGCAAGCGUUGUUCGGAAUUAUUGGGCGUAAAGGGCAUGUAGGCGGUUCGGUAAG